rnacentral:rRNA from 1 species
AGUGAACGCUGGCGGUAGGCCUAACACAUGCCAGUCGAACGGCAGCACAGUAAGAGCUUGCUCUUACGGGUGGCGAGUGGCGGACGGGUGAGGAAUACAUCGGAAUCUACUUUUUCGUGGGGGAUAACGUAGGGAAACUUACGCUAAUACCGCAUACGACCUACGGGUGAAAGCAGGGGAUCUUCGGACCUUGCGCGAUUGAAUGAGCCGAUGUCGGAUUAGCUAGUUGGCGGGGUAAAGGCCCACCAAGGCGACGAUCCGUAGCUGGUCUGAGAGGAUGAUCAGCCACACUGGAACUGAGACACGGUCCAGACUCCUACGGGAGGCAGCAGUGGGGAAUAUUGGACAAUGGGCGCAAGCCUGAUCCAGCCAUACCGCGUGGGUGAAGAAGGCCUUCGGGUUGUAAAGCCCUUUUGUUGGGAAAGAAAAGCAGCAGGUUAAUACCCCGCUGUUCUGACUGUACCCAAAGAAUAAGCACCGGCUAACUUCGU